rnacentral:rRNA from 1 species
GUCCACGCCCUAAACGAUGUCUACUGGUUGUUGGGGAUUUCGAUCCUUGGUAACGAAGCUAACGCGAGAAGUAGACCGCCUGGGGAGUACGGCCGCAAGGUUAAAACUCAAAGGAAUUGACGGGGCCCGCACAAGCGGUGGAUGAUGUGGAUUAAUUCGAUGCAACGCGAAAAACCUUACCUGGUCUUGACAUGUCUAGAAUCCCUUAGAGAUAGGGGAGUGCCGCAAGGAACUAGAACACAGGUGCUGCAUGGCUGUCGU